rnacentral:lncRNA from 1 species
ACUCAAUUUAGAGCAAAAGAACAACAGAUAUAUCUAAAAUACACUUAAGGACAUCUCCAUCAAAUUAUGACAGCCAGUACACUUCACCUUGUAUGUUUUGGUUCAAGUUCAAACUGAAUUCCAGAUUUGGACCCUUUCCUGAAGUUCAGCAUGACAAAGCAUUUCCUUUGCAGCAUGGGAUAUGCUUUCUAAGAUCAUCUGAAUAUAUUAGGUCCUGCUAUUUCAGUCUGGAGGCUCUUCUCUCACUUUGUCUGUAGUACACACUGUAGUCUGAGGAGGACUAAAAUGUUUUACUUUAAUUCAAGCUGAUGAAGCUCAUAGAGUAUCUGUGUGAAAUUUAAUUGCCUGUAAAAUGCAGGUCAGUUUAGAUGAUCUAAUGGUCCCCUAUGGCCUUAAACUAUACAAUAUCUGUCAAACAAACCAUUAAAAUGUUGCUGGGUGUAAUAAUCACAAAGAUAACUAUGGAUUUUGUAAAUGCCCUCUAAUUUACAUGGCACCCUUUAUAGUCUGCGUACAAGCUCUAAUUAGCUAUUUUAAUGAUGCUCCUAAGUGUGGUAAGUGGUUUGUAUAACAUAGAAUUUAAGAGUUACUGGCAUAGCAGGGAUCAGAUCUAUACAACAGAACUCUCUUGUCCUCCAAAGCUGAGGCUGCACCUCUCAGAGCAGCACAAUGUUCCUCAGUGCUUAGAAAGUCAGAUGUUCUCCCAGGUGUUAUGUGGGCGAGCAGCAUGUAUCCCAUGCCAAAAUUGCACCUAGAACUAUAUUAAGAAAACUACCUGUGGGAAUGGUUGCACAUGUCUUUGUUCCUUGCUCUGUUUAGUUUUAAAUACAUAUUUUUUUGAAACUUAGAUAUAAUUAGCAUUAAUGUGUUGGUAGCUUGGCAAGUGCAUGGAGGAAGAGGGAGGAAGAAGGAAGAAUGGCUCAGAAACAAAGUACUACUCAGCCAACUCUAGGAAUUUGUUCAGACAAUGAUAUAUCUGUUGGCUUCUGUACCACCAGUUAAUGCUUUUUUUAUUUUACAGCCUUAUAUUCAAAACCAUGGAGCACAGCUUCAUUUAGAGGGAGUUUUUUUCUGCCCAGAUGAGGGUGACCCUCAGCACUUCCCUGAGGAUUCUGGUGAAGAAAAAUCUACCCAGGUCUGCCAGCAGGGAUGGCUGGUUUCUUUUAUAACCACAGGACAAAUAUGACCAAAACCAGGUUUACCAGGCAUGCAACAGGUGUGGCACACUGUUUUCUGUCUCACUGUUAAGGGGAGGGACACUUGUGGCAAACCUGUUUGCAAAGCUUAUAGCCAGACCUUGGCUGGUGCCUUCCUGGUGAAACAACAGUGUGAAGGAAGCUGUGCCAUGUCUGCAGCAUCAAGUGAAGCCAUGUGAAAAAAGAUGUCUUGUGCACAUCAAGCACACUGGGCUGCAGAUUCAACAGGCAUUUCUGCACACAAAGUCUUCUGGAAUUGCAGUUUUCACUGCCCAGGUCUUCAGAACAUGCCAGAAAGGUUGGGAACUUUUGUGCCAGUUCAUGGAUGCUGAGGCCAAUGUUGCAGUUGAUCUAAAUGUGAAAAUAUGUCACCUUUUCAUAAUCCCUUUUCUCUCUAUUAUCAGCUUAAGUAUUUCUGGCUAUUUCCUUGUGCUCAAGUUAUUUGUCUUCUUGUUCCAGAACCUUAUAAAGGCUUGCAAAUAGCUACAGGCCAAGUUCCAUUAUAAACUUUAAUUCAAAUAUUUGUUUGUGUAGAAAUCUGAGAUACCAAAUAAUAGAAGCAAAUAGUCAUUUUAUACAUUAGUAUUCUGAAAUAUAUUUUCAAAGUACCUUUUAUUGUAUGUCUAGUAAUAAUGGCACUGGCUUAUUAAAUGGAGA